rnacentral:rRNA from 1 species
CAGUUCGGACUGCAGGCUGCAACUCGCCUGCACGAAGUUGGAAUUGCUAGUAAUCGUGGAUCAGCAUGCCACGGUGAAUACGUUCCCGGGUCUUGUACACACCGCCCGUCACACCAUGGGAGCCGGUAAUACCCGAAGUCAGUAGUCUAACCGCAAGGAGGACGCUGCCGAAGGUAGGAUUGGCGACUGGGGUGAAGUCGUAACAAGGUAGC